rnacentral:rRNA from 1 species
UGGUACUGAGACACGGACCAGACUCCUACGGGAGGCAGCAGUAAGGAAUAUUGGUCAAUGGACGCAAGUCUGAACCAGCCAUGCCGCGUGCAGGAAGACCGCCCUAUGGGUUGUAAACUGCUUUUGUACGGGAAGAACUACAUUUACGUGUAAAUGUUUGACGGUACCGUAAGAAUAAGGAUCGGCUAACUCCGUGCCAGCAGCCGCGGUAAUACGGAGGAUCC